CGAAAGCGACUUUUUGCAGCUUUUGGCCUACCGAAACAUCCCGAAGUUUGCGCAUGCGCGAAAUCGGAAAUCCUCUUACUUCAACAUGGCUGGAAGAAGAUGCGCGCUUGCACUUCAGUGUAUUGUUUUUGCUGCGAUGACAGUAUAUUCCAUUUAUGGAAUGAUGGAUGGAUUUGACCCUUUCGGUCAAUUUGGUGUACGUGUACCAGAACCAGUCGGAAUUGG